AACGCAUAUUGCACCUUUUGGUAUUCCGAAAGGUACACCUGUUCGAGCGUCAAUACAUUUUCAAGUUUAGCUUGGUGUUGAAGGAAAUUGACUUCAAUUCCUUCGAAACUCUUUUGGUUUCCUCGAUCAUUCGAGUGCAACGGAAUUCGUAAGCACAGAAAUGACUGAGAAGAUCAGAUUCGAUCUUGAUAUCCAUCUCGAUCUCGAUCUUGACCUCGAAUCAGGUGAGGAUACCCGCUGAACUUAA
rnacentral:misc_RNA from 1 species